ACGGAGGGUGCAAGCGUUAUCCGGAUUUACUGGGUUUAAAGGGUGCGUAGGCGGGCUGAAAAGUCAGCGGUGAAAGCCCCGAGCUUAACUCGGGAAUUGCCAUUGAUACUGCCAGUCUUGAAUACGGUUGAGGUAGGCGGAAUAUAGCAUGUAGCGGUGAAAUGCUUAGAUAUGCUAUAGAACACCGAUUGCGAAGGCAGCUUACUAAGCCGUUAUUGACGCUGAGGCACGAAAGCGUGGGGAGCAAACAGGA
rnacentral:rRNA from 1 species